GGAGAGUAGGCGGAUAUUGGUUUGCCGCACCUGCCUGCUAAGCAGGUCUACGACAUCGUAGUGAGAGUUCGAGCCUCUUGCUCUCCG
rnacentral:tRNA from 1 species